UGACACGAACAGAGAUCCGGAGUUUCCUUCGUAGUGAGUUCAUUGAUUGGAGAUGACACGGAUCGCUGACACGCAGGGAGUGUGACGUGAUCUGAUGGAGCGGCAGUGGUGGAGCGUCUGGCCCUCGGGAUGGUACAACCUGAGGGGAAACGAGGACUGGUUUUGACAGUGGAGUUGAGGUGUUGAGUCAAAGCUUCACACUCCAAAGAGGCCAGCAGCUCCUGGUGAGAAACAUCUUCACCCAGACAGGAAGCUGCAGCCCCGCCUGUGAGGACGAGUGGCUGGCAGGUGAUGAAAGUUUCACCAUAACUGCUGCUGCUCCAUAAACUGUGAAGGUGCUUCAUCAUGGAGACCCAAACCACGGAGACUGAAUGAGAUGGAGAAGGUUAACCUGUAGAGGCCAGAACAUGAUCUCAGAAGGCUGAAGGAAGAACACCAGCGACCUGCUCUUCAUCUGAAAUGCUAAACUCCCGCCUUCAUACAGCCAGACGGUGUGGUGGUGCAGUGGUUAGCCCCUGGUUCAAAUCCCCUCUGAGGAGGCUGCAUGUUCAGGACAUUUGCAUUUGAAGGGGAAACUGCUCCUGCUGAACAACGUCCUUGAGCGCCAGUGAAUCUGAAGAGUGAAUGUCUGUUACCGGAUCCGUGGAGCUCGUGUGUUUGAAGAAAUUCAUCAUUAUUUUCAUCAAGGCCAGCGGAGUUUGACCCCAAUUACUGUCCCAUGACUCAGACUUCCUCUGUGGAUACGACACAAACGGACAAGAUUCAUCGAGUGACAGAUUCAUGUCACCAACAGAGGUCGACAGGAAGAAAGAAUUAAAAAGUUACAUUUU